rnacentral:lncRNA from 1 species
UGCAUUUCUCAUCAUGUUCAACCAGUUGACAAUCCAUGUUAGUCGGAAUAAUUUUAUGAUGAUCCAUUUGUUCAUACUUUACAUCGGGUUUAUACUCAUAUAUAUUUGAAUAUACAUACUCCUUAUUUGGGUAUGUACCGAUAAUAAAUUUUGUACUUUCUUUAUAAUUUGGAUUCACAUAUGUACCAUUUGGAUUAAGGAAUGUAUCAUUGGGAUAACCCAAUUUAUCCAAACUUAAAACUUCAAUACUAGAUGGAACGUUUUUUUCUUUUUCCAAUUCGAUUUGUUUAUUACAACUUAUCAUCCUAUUAAUCUCUCCAUGAGGUAAAAAUUUUACCAAUUCAUUUUCAUUAUUAUUACAAUAAGUUUCAUUUAUUGUUUUAUUUUUCCAUUCAUUAAGUGGUUGACCCUGUUGUACUAUUAAUUCUUUCGAUGUACUAUAAAGGUUAUAGUUAUGGUUAUGUUUAUUGUUAUUAUUUUUAUUGUCACUAGUGCUCCUACUGCUAAUAAUGCUCCUACUGCUAAUAUUGCUCCUACUACUCCUACUGCUCCUACUGCUAAUAUUGCUCCUACUACUCCUACUGCUCCCAUUGCUACAACUGGUAAAGCUAGAAACGCAGUUGUUUGCUUCUUUUUUAAUAUUUUUUUCUUUUAAUAAAUUAUUAUUUAUAAAACUACUCCAUUCGUUUCGUUUAUGUUUUAUGAGACCAUUUAAUAUUUGUUUAUUAAUUUUUUCGUUAAUUGUUUCGUUAAUUUUUUCGUUAAUUUUUUCGUUAAUUUUUUCGUUAAUUUUUUCGUUAAUUUUUUCGUUAAUUUUUUUGUUAAUUUUUUCGUUAAUUUUUUUGUUAAUUUCGUUUUUAUAUUCUUUCUUUAUUUCCUCCCUCUUCUCAUUAGGUUGUGAUAACUUUGGUAGUAUAUUCUUUUCUAAUAUUACCACCUUCUUUCCAGGCACUUUUUUAAUACUUUUUUUUUUUUUUUUUCUUCCUCUUCAUUUCUUAUAAUUUUAUAUUCCUUGCUACCAUACCUAAUACUAUGUACAUCAUUUUUUUUCUUAUUUUUACUACUGUCAUCAUUAGCUUCUUUU